GCACUGGUGAUACAGUGGCAGAAUUCUUGCCUUACAUGCAGGAGAUCUGGGUUUGACUCCAGCCAAUGCA
rnacentral:tRNA from 1 species